rnacentral:rRNA from 1 species
UACGUAGGGGGCAAGCGUUGUCCGGAUUUAUUGGGCGUAAAGAGCGUGUAGGCGGUCAGGUAGGUCCGUUGUGAAAACUCGAGGCUCAACCUCGAGACGCCGAUGGAAACCAUCUGACUAGAGUCCGGAAGAGGAGAGUGGAAUUCCUGGUGUAGCGGUGAAAUGCGCAGAUAUCAGGAAGAACACCCGUGGCUAAGGCGGCUCUCUAGUACGGUACUGACGCUGAGACGCGAAAGCGUGGGGAGCGAACAGGAUUAAGAUACCCCGUGUAAGUCCGAGA